AUUGAACGCUGUCGGCAGGCCUAACACAUGCAAGUCGAGCGAGCGGCGGACGGGUGAGUCAUGUAUGGGGACUGCCCGAUAGAGGGGGAUAACUACUGGAAACGGUUGCUAAUACCGCAUACUAUCGGAUAACCCAUAGGGGAUUGGAUAGUAGGUGGGGUAAAGGCUCACCUAGGCGACGAUCUCUAGCUGGUCGGAGAGGAUGACCAGCAACACUGGAACUGAUACACAGCCCAGACUCCAACGGAGGCAGCAGUGGGGAAUAUUGCGCAAUGGGGGCAACCUUAACGCCGCCAUGCCGCGUGAAUGAAGAAUGCUUUCGGGUUGUAAAGUUCUUUCGGUAGCGAGGCGUUAACUACAGACGAAGCACCGGCUAAAUCCGUGCCAGCAGCCGCGGUAAUUC
rnacentral:rRNA from 1 species